GAUGAACGCUGGCGGCGUGCCUAAUACAUGCAAGUCGAGCGAACGGACGAGAAGCUUGCUUCUCUGAUGUUAGCGGCGGACGGGUGAGUAACACGUGGUUAACCUACCUAUAAGACUGGGAUAACUUCGGGAAACCGGAGCUAAUACCGGAUAAUAUUUUGAACCGCAUGGUUCAAAAGUGAAAGACGGUCUUGCUGUCACUUAUAGAUGUAUCCGCGCUGCAUUAGCUAGUUGGUAAGGUAACGGCUUACCAAGGCAACGAUGCAUAGCCGACCUGAGAGGGCGAUCGGCCACACUGGAACUGAGACACGGUCCAGACUCCUACGGGAGGCAGCAGUAGGGAAUCUUCCGCAAUGGGCGAAAGCCUGACGGAGCAACGCCGCGUGAGUGAUGAAGGUCUUCGGAUCGUAAAACUCUGUUAUUAGUGAAGAACAUAUGUGUAAGUAACUGUGCACAUCUUGACGGUACCUAAUCAGAAAGCCACGGCUAACUACGUG
rnacentral:rRNA from 1 species